rnacentral:rRNA from 1 species
GACGAACGCUGGCGGCGUGCUUAACACAUGCAAGUCGAGCGGUAAGGCCCUUUCGGGGGUACACGAGCGGCGAACGGGUGAGUAACACGUGGGUGACCUGCCCUCAGCUCUGGGAUAAGCCUGGGAAACUGGGUCUAAUACUGGAUAUGACUCCACGGUGCAUGUCGUGGGGUGGAAAGCCUUGUGCGGCUGAGGAUGGGCCCGCGGCCUAUCAGCUUGUUGGUGGGGUGANGGCCUACCAAGGCGACGACGGGUAGCCGGCCUGAGAGGGCGACCGGCCACACUGGGACUGAGACACGGCCCAGACUCCUACGGGAGGCAGCAGUGGGGAAUCUUGCGCAAUGGGCGAAAAGCCUGACGCAGCGACGCCGCGUGAGGGAUGACGGCCUGUGUAAC